rnacentral:tRNA from 1 species
AGGGAUUUAGUCCAAAACAAGACCUCUGAUUUCGGCUCAGAAAAUUGUGGUUAAAGUCCACAACUCCCUU